rnacentral:rRNA from 1 species
ACGGGUGAGUAACACGUGGGAACGUACCCUUUGGUUCGGAAUAACGCUGGGAAACUAGCGCUAAUACCGGAUACGCCCUUUUGGGGAAAGGCUUGCUGCCGAAGGAUCGGCCCGCGUCUGAUUAGCUAGUUGGUGGGGUAAUGGCCUACCAAGGCGACGAUCAGUAGCUGGUCUGAGAGGAUGAUCAGCCACACUGGGACUGAGACACGGCCCAGACUCCUACGGGAGGCAGCAGUGGGGAAUAUUGGACAAUGGGCGCAAGCCUGAUCCAGCCAUGCCGCGUGAGUGAUGAAGGCCUUAGGGUUGUAAAGCUCUUUUGUCCGGGACGAUAAUGACGGUACCGGAAGAAUAAGCCCCGGCUAACUUCGUGCCAGCAGCCGCGGUAAUACGUAGGGGGCUAGCGUUGCUCGGAAUCACUGGGCGUAAAGGGCGCGUAGGCGGCCAUUCAAGUCGGGGGUGAAAGCCUGUGGCUCAACCACAGAAUUGCCUUCGAUACUGUUUGGCUUGAGUUUGGUAGAGGUUGGUGGAACUGCGAGUGUAGAGGUG